rnacentral:rRNA from 1 species
CCUACGGGUGGCUGCAGUGGGGGAUAUUGCACAAUGGGGGAGACCCUGAUGCAGCGACGCCGCGUGAGUGAAGAAGUAUUUCGGUAUGUAAAGCUCUAUCAGCAGGGAAGAAAAUGACAGUACUUGACCACGAAGCCCCGGCUAACUAAGUGCCAGCAGCCGCGGUCAUACGUAGGGGGCCAGCGUUAUCCGGAUUUACUGGGUGUAAAGGGUGCGUAGACGGUUAGGUAAGCCUGGAGUGAAAGACCGGGGACCAACCCCGGGACUGCGUUGGAAACUGGGUGACUUGAGUACAGGAGGGGUAGGCGGAAUUCCUGGUGUAGCGGUGAAAUGCGUAGAUAUCAGGAGGAACACCGGUGGCGAAGGCGGCCUGCUGGACUGUAACUGACGUUGAGGCUCGAAAGCGUGGGGAGCAAACAGGAUUAGAUACCCCUGUAGUC